rnacentral:lncRNA from 1 species
AAUUGAUGGGUGAAGGCUGCAUGGGUGUUUCCAAGUUGCUGAAUGUCACCUGCACGAGUAUGGGCCGUGGCAGCUUGGCCAUUUUUCUUCAACGCUGAACCAGGUGAAGAUGUUGGACGNUGCUGGAUGUGUAUAGUUGGGUCCGUGGAGUUAUCACAUGGACGUCACCCCCUCACCAUUUCANCCUUCAAAAUUAGCACAUGUGCCUCCUUCUUUUAUCAAAUAAAUGAAUCAGCUUGGCCGUGGCAUGUGCUGCANAACAAUAUGUUCUCUUUUCCAUGUGCACCACCAAAUAUGAAAUCCACACCUCCAUUCUCAUAAGCCCAAAAGGGUAAAAUCCCCNUACUGCCCUUCUUCUUGUGAACACUUCUUUUGAGAAGAGUCUUGAAUUGUGUGACAACUCUCAAUAUGUCCCAAAUUAUAUUUCCAAAAUUUUCCCUGAAAAUAAUAAUGCAAAUAAUUAGCUCAGAAAAUUCAAAUUAAUUAAAAUUCGAAUUUCCGGUCAAAUUAAGCACAAUUAGCAGAAACGAGAAAAUACCGG